UGGCUCAGCAGCAAGAAGGAGCAACAGGAAAUGAAUUCAGAUUUGAUCCCAGAGCCAGAGGCGGAGGCUUGAAACACUAUGUGAUAGUCUGUCCCAAAGUCAGAUCAUUACCCACUUUAUUUCUCCCAUGGGGAAAUAAUAACAUACUCUCACCCAUCACUUUGCCAAAGGACUUUUAUAUAUCUAUAGCUUUUCCCCUCUUCUUUUCUGAGCAAAAUGUACAUUUUUUUAUUCACUGAUUUAUUUCUACUCUUCCCUCCUGGUGACCUAUAAAAAUGUCUUCAAAAAUGCGAUUCUAACACUGAGAACACAGGAAGGCAGGUACAACAUUUCACCCUGAAGCUACUGUCAUUUUAAUUAUCUGGCACAUUCAUAGAAAAAUCUCCAGGAGAUGCUUUUUUUUCUUUUCAUUGGUGGUAACAUAGCUGGACCAUUUAAGAGUUGAAGCGUCGAGAGCAGGGAUGCUAUUUGGUAGUGGAACACUACAGGCAUUAAUAAAUUUAUGCACCACCUUAAUGUGCUAUCAUUAAAAAUGGCUUUUUAAUUGGAAAAAAGGAAAAGAAAAAGUCUCGUUGAGAAUUGCUCCUUUAAAGCUGAUAAAAGUAGGGCGGGUGGGGUCAGGCAGGUUUCUAUUGGUCUGCAGUGUAACUACUCCAACCACGUGAAUCCCAGCCCAAGCUGGGAUUGCACAGACUGGCCACAGGGAUAGAGAGUAGAAAAAAAAAGAUGAUGUUCCAAGCAGUCGCUCAACUCAAAGAGUGGCGUGCUUACCUGGAAACACCCGCUCAGGCUCUGACUGGGUGGAGCUCAUCCCUUCCAUGAACGGUGGUGCUGUGCUAGAAUGCAUGUGAUACCUUCACACGAGGAACUAGUCUUGAGCAGGGGCCCUUUGCGCCUCAGAAAGUGAAUUACAUCAUGAGAUAUUUGAUGAUCUAUAAAUCAAAUCAUGUCAUGAUUUAGAGAAGGCUCCAAAUAUAUCCUUACUUGGGCUGUCCAUUGAUAAUAUAGGGUAGGUGUUGAUUUUUACCAGAGUUACAAUCCUAAUACGGACAGAGCAACAAUAUCGUCAUGAUUUCUUGCCCACUCCCCCUCCCCAUCCCUUCCAAGCCUCCCCCAGCAGAGGCAGGAUGGUCACACAGUAAAUCUAAUACUGUCAUACAACUGAUGCCGUGUUGGCAGUCACAGUCAGAAACCACACAGGAUGAGAUAUCAGUCGCACGACAACUAUGUCUGAUUUCUCAGACCUUUCCCAGAUGCUUUCCGUUCCCAGUGUGUGUAUGAUAUUUCUAUCAUGUGGCACAGUCAGUGUGUGUCAGGCCUUUCCCUAAACAAGACUGCUGGUGUAUGAUGAUAAAUAGUGCCAUGAUCAGCAGUGAUUCCCUCCCCUCCACAUGCUGGCAAAGGUCUCCUAGCAACUGUUGUUAGGGGCAACACCAGCGUGUUUAGUUUAAUGCCGGGCAACAGGACAGCUUUGGUCUCCUGAGGGAGGUUCAAGUUUAUGCCCUGGAGAUUAGAACCCCAUCAUAAAUCCAUACCAGUUAUAACCCCCCUCGUGCUUGCAUAAGACUUAACCAUUAUUACAAAAUUUGCCGAUUUAACAAGAUCAAAAUGGUCAUUCUGAGCAUAUCACACCUUCCACACAGGCAAUGGAAAAAAGGUUCCUAUCUGAUUCUUACAACCAGAUGUAAAGAACACUUUUCUCUUUUUUUUCUGAAGCUAAUUAUGACUGACAGCCAUUCGUUAAAGUGUACUUAUGUGAACAGAGAUGAAAUAAUUUUUCUCCCUACCUGAUCCCUACAGAAUUUGGAAACUCUUACCCCGUAAACUGAAGCUAGAUGACGCAAUACAAACCUCAAAGAAAAUCUGAAGCCACAAUCGCUCACUUGAGCCAAUCUUCUGCACACCUGCUCCUGGAUGGGCCACUCAUGAACUUUACUGGUGUACCCAAAAAUAUCACCAGAGACGUUCAAACUGCAAACCAGGAAAAUCCGUCAGAUUGCCACUGCCUGACCCCACGCCAUCUAAAGAUGCCUCGAGCCUGACAUCUAGAAAUCUUGACCGGCAGCUCCUGGGACUCAAAACUUCAUUUUUCUUUUGUUCCUAUAGAAACGUCUCUUAUUAAUUACUUGGUCGCUUGCACAAUAUAAGCCUAACUUUGGGAGCCCUACUGAAUCACCGCUUCUUGAAAUGAGACACUGCUUCCUGAAAUGGGACUGAAGGGGGGAAGAAUUUGUCGCCCUAAAAUUUGUGCGUCUUCGGCAUGAGGAUUACUGUGACCUGAAGGCGAUCAAACCCCAGCAGAUGCAGGAAAGGCUCUUUUCCUACCCCUCACAUGUCUAAAUUUACAUUAGAAAGGUGUUCUGUCCCGGGAAGAAAGUGAUUAGCAGAGAUAGCUUUACCUAAGAACCAUGUCUGCAUAUCCUCUGGCUUCCUGUGAAUGGCCUUCCUCCUCUUUAUAUCCCUAGACCCCUAUCUGUUUCCUUGGCUCAGAGUGUUAUAUGAGCCUCAAUCACCUAUCUGCCCUUUGGCUCUCGUAUUUUUACUGGGCUCCCAUAGGUAUAAAAACGUAUUUUUCUACUGUUAA